rnacentral:rRNA from 1 species
AACUUUCAACAAUGGAUCUCUUGGUUCUGGCAUCGAUGAAGAACGCAGCGAAAUGCGAUAAGUAAUGUGAAUUGCAGAAUUCAGUGAAUCAUCGAAUCUUUGAACGCACAUUGCGCCCCCUGGUAUUCCGGGGGGCACACCUAUUCGAGCGUCAUCG